ACCACUGUGGUGUAGUAGUAGCAUUCACCCCUCAUAUGGCUGAGAUGUGGGUUCAACUCCCGUCUGAGGUC